GUUGAUGCCAUGCUUCCAAGAAAAGCUUCUAAGCUUCAGGUAACCAGGAACCGUACCCCAAACCGACACAGGUGGUUGGGUAGAGAAUACCAAGGCGCUUGAGAGAACUCGGGUGAAGGAACUAGGCAAAAUGGCACCGUAACUUCGGGAGAAGGUGCGCCGGUGAGGGUGAAGGACUUGCUCCGUAAGCUCAUGCCGGUCGAAGAUACCAGGCCGCUGCGACUGUUUAUUAAAAACACAGCACUCUGCAAACACGAAAGUGGACGUAUAGGGUGUGACGCCUGCCCGGUGCCGGAAGGUUAAUUGAUGGGGUUAGCUAACGCGAAGCUCUUGAUCGAAGCCCCGGUAAACGGCGGCCGUAACUAUAACGGUCCUAAGGUAGCGAAAUUCCUUGUCGGGUAAGUUCCGACCUGCACGAAUGGCGUAACGAUGGCGGCGCUGUCUCCACCCGAGACUCAGUGAAAUUGAAAUCGCUGUGAAGAUGCAGUGUAUCCGCGGCUAGACGGAAAGACCCCGUGAACCUUUACUAUAGCUUUGCACUGGACUUUGAAUUUGCUUGUGUAGGAUAGGUGGGAGGCUUUGAAGCGUGGACGCCAGUCUGCGUGGAGCCAUCCUUGAAAUACCACCCUGGCAACUUUGAGGUUCUAACUCAGGUCCGUUAUCCGGAUCGAGGACAGUGUAUGGUGGGUAGUUUGACUGGGGCGGUCUCCUCCUAAAGAGUAACGGAGGAGUACGAAGGUGCGCUCAGACCGGUCGGAAAUCGGUCGUAGAGUAUAAAGGCAAAAGCGCGCUUGACUGCGAGACAGACACGUCGAGCAGGUACGAAAGUAGGUCUUAGUGAUCCGGUGGUUCUGUAUGGAAGGGCCAUCGCUCAACGGAUAAAAGGUACUCCGGGGAUAACAGGCUGAUACCGCCCAAGAGUUCAUAUCGACGGCGGUGUUUGGCACCUCGAUGUCGGCUCAUCACAUCCUGGGGCUGAAGCCGGUCCCAAGGGUAUGGCUGUUCGCCAUUUAAAGUGGUACGCGAGCUGGGUUUAGAACGUCGUGAGACAGUUCGGUCCCUAUCUGCCGUGGACGUUUGAGAUUUGAGAGGGGCUGCUCCUAGUACGAGAGGACCGGAGUGGACGAACCUCUGGUGUUCCGGUUGUCACGCCAGUGGCAUUGCCGGGUAGCUAUGUUCGGAAUAGAUAACCGCUGAAAGCAUCUAAGCGGGAAACUAGCCUCAAGAUGAGAUCUCACUGGAACCUUGAGUUCCCUGAAGGGCCGUCGAAGACUACGACGUUGAUAGGUUGGGUGUGUAAGCGCUGUGAGGCGUUGAGCUAACCAAUACUAAUUGCCCGUGAGGCUUGACCAU
rnacentral:rRNA from 1 species